rnacentral:rRNA from 1 species
UACGAAGGGGGCUAGCGUUGCUCGGAAUCACUGGGCGUAAAGCGCACGUAGGCGGAUUGUUAAGUCAGAGGUGAAAUCCCAAGGCUCAACCUUGGAACUGCCUUUGAUACUGGGGAUCUUGAGUCCGGGAGAGGUGAGUGGAACUGCGAGUGUAGAGGUGAAAUUCGUAGAUAUUCGCAAGAACACCAGUGGCGAAGGCGGCUCACUGGCCCGGUACUGACGCUGAGGUGCGAAAGCGUGGGGAGCAAACAGG